UCUCCGUUGGUGAACCAGCGGAGGGAUCAUUACCGAGUUUACAACUCCCAAACCCAAUGUGAACCAUACCAAACUGUUGCCUCGGCGGGGUCACGCCCCGGGUGCGUCGCAGCCCCGGAACCAGGCGCCCGCCGGAGGGGCCAACCAAACUCUUUCUGUAGUCCCCUCGCGGACGUUAUUUUUACAGCUCUGAGCAAAAAUUCAAAAUGAAUCAAAACUUUCAACAACGGAUCUCUUGGUUCUG
rnacentral:misc_RNA from 1 species